rnacentral:lncRNA from 1 species
GUCCUUGUCCUCCUCUUGCUCUUGAGUUAAGGGAGUUAAAGACUGUGUCAUUAAGGCUGGCCCUUUUAAGUGACUCUUUCGGAAGUAUGAACCGGGUUUUAUUGUUGCCACCUUCUCGUUAGUUCCUACAUCUGAGGGAUCAACAGCGACUUAAUUAAGCUCCUUUUUUCUAUCUUCAUCUUUACUUGUUUAUGCUUUUAGAUUACUAUGUUUAUUUUCCGCGGUACAGACCGACCUUUCACCCCGGAGAAGCCUAUAGCCUUUUGCUCUCAUUAUAAUGGGAGUGGCUAUUGCGACCGCCAAAGAUUUGCAGCUGCAUCAACAGUUUCAAGCCAUGCACGAAUCUGAUCCUGUCUGUGCUUCUCUUUUGAAGUUAAUCCUCUAUGCGGUGAAACCUUGUCGACUUGCCAUAGCACUGAAAAAAUUGCUGUUUUAUUCAUACAAUAAGAAAUUCUGCGCGUAAAGAAAGGUAGCAACAAUUGAAUCUCAUACUAAUAGAUAUUUGUUAUCGCUAUUAAUAAAAGUGUUUCAUAUUUCUCUCUGCUAUAACACAUUAACAUCUCUGUAUUUGGGUGUAUGUGUCCACCGUGUUCAUUGCAAUAUGACUCAUGAAUAAGCCAGGUAAAUAUCCAAAACUGGAGAACCCAUAUGAUUAAGAUGAAACUGAG